rnacentral:rRNA from 1 species
AACGAACGCUGGCGGCAGGCCUCAAACAUGCAAGUCUAGGGGGUGCAGCAAUGCAUCACCGGCGGACGGGUGCGUAACGCGUGGGAAUAUACCUAUUGGUUCGGAACAACUGCGGGAAACUGCAGCUAAUACCGAAUGUGCCCGAAAGGGGAAAGAUUUAUCGCCAAUGGAUUAGCCCGCGUAGGNUUAGCUAGUUGGUGGGGUAAUGGCCCACAAGGCUCCGAUCCUUAGCGUUCUGAGAGGAAGAUCAGCCACACUGGGACUGAGACACGGCCCAGACUCCUACGGGAGGCAGCAGUUGGGAAUCUUGGACAAGUGGGGAAACCCUGAUCCAGCCAUGCCGCGUGAGU